rnacentral:rRNA from 1 species
CAAUAACGUAUAUUAAAGUUGUUGCAGUUAAAAAGCUCGUAGUUGGAUUUCUGGUUGAAGCGACCGGUCGGGCGUUGAUUCGUCUGCACUGGAGUCGGUUUUGGCCAUCCUCUAGGAAAGUGCGUCUGGUAUUAAGUUAUCGGGCGUAUGAUCCUGGUCUUUUACUGUGAAAAAAUUAGAGUGUUUAAAGCAGGCCUUCGCCUUGAAUACAUUAGCAUGGAAUAAUAAGAUAAGACUUUGGUGCUAUUUUGUUGGUUGAGCCUAAAGUAAUGAUUAAUAGGGAUAGUUGGGGGCACCUGUAUUGCGUUGUCAGAGGUGAAAUUCUUGGAUUUACGCAAGACAAACAGCUGCGAAAGCGUCUGCCAAGGAUGUUUUCAUUA